rnacentral:lncRNA from 1 species
AUGAAGACAGUAACAUUCCUCUCAUCAUUUUCUCCAGAACUUUGGUGCUUUGAGUCAAAGGUUGACAUAAAGCUUUCAAAACAAAUGCGUGUUUGCACCUCCGCCUCGGGGCCGCAGGAACCUGGACUCAGGGACUAUUUAGACAACACUGAGUUGGAGGAGAAGACUACCAACUGCUCUGGAUUGAUGACACCGUUUGGGCGUAAAAUGGGCAGAAGGAGGAUGGUAGGAAGAAAAGCAGGAGAGAUGUUGCUGCCUCUUCUCAGAGAAUGGAUUGUGGCUAGCUGGACACUGGGCCCUCCGCUGGCACUGUGGUCACUGCUGGCCCCAGUGCCACCAAUGCCACAGGACACUGGAUGCCAUAGCCACCAACUCCACCAGAAGGAGUUCCGAUUAUGUUGUUCAGUCUGGAUUUAG